CCAUAGUGUUUUGGGAGAAGGAGAGCGAGCUACAUGGAAAUAGUAGCGAUCGCCUAAGCUUCCCCUUUCGGCCCCUUUGUUCGCUUCAAACAACCCAUUCAAUUAAGACUCCUGAGGAAAAACAGCCACGUUUGCUUCAAGCCUCCCACCUAAUUGAGACUCAUGAGGACAGAAAAACAAUGGAAAAACUUGGAGAAAACAUAGGAAAAUCAAUGAAAAUAAGG
rnacentral:lncRNA from 1 species